ACCACCUCAAGCGGUGUGGUAGAAACGGAAAUAUCCUGUUUUCUUUUUGCUGCAUAUCUCACUUUUCACCAUCCUUUGGCUUAACAUAGCCACCAAACGAAUCAACCAAACACGCUUUGGUUAAGCUGGUUACAAUCUGUUGUGCUAACCACUGCGUUAUGCGAAAUUGACGAGCCAUAGCCUCUGAAAAUUCAACUU
rnacentral:rRNA from 1 species